GACGAACGCUGGCGGCGUGCUUAACACAUGCAAGUCGAACGGUAAGGCUCCAGCUUGCUGGGGUACACGAGUGGCGAACGGGUGAGUAACACGUGGGUUACCUGCCCUGCACUUCGGGAUAAGCCUGGGAAACUGGGUCUAAUACCGGAUAGGACCGCACCGUGAGGGUGUGGUGGAAAGUUUUUUCGGUGUGGGAUGGGCCCGCGGCCUAUCAGCUUGUUGGUGGGGUAAUGGCCUACCAAGGCGGCGACGGGUAGCCGGCCUGAGAGGGUGGACGGCCACAUUGGGACUGAGACACGGCCCAGACUCCUACGGGAGGCAGCAGUGGGGAAUAUUGCACAAUGGGCGGAAGCCUGAUGCAGCGACGCCGCGUGGGGGAUGACGGCCUUCGGGUUGUAAACUCCUUUCACCAUCGACGAAGGGUUUCUGACGGUAGAUGGAGAAGAAGCACCGGCUAACUACGUG
rnacentral:rRNA from 1 species